CCUACUUUACUCCUCUGCCUCUUUCUUUUUAAUUUCGUGUAGCCUCCACCCACUCUUUUCUCUCUUUCUCCAAACAAAUCAACAAUCCUCUUGAUCCUUUUUUUUUGUUUCAGUUAUCCGGUUGAUUCUAUCUCUCUCAUGUUCUUCUCCCUAAGAACAUCUCUUUCUUUCACCUUAUCUGUCUGUGAUUUUAAUUUAUAAUGUUUCAGAUUCAGUGUCACGCUCUUCUCCCUCAUUAAAGGUAGAAACUCACGACCCUACUGCCUCUCGACGACUAUUCUGAUCCGUACGUAAUGCAGAUGGUAUUAACAAGUUGAUAUUUCAGAUACAGAUCGAUGUAGCUAGCUAGAGCCACUACUUCGUCGGGCGACUACCCUGUUCGAGGCUUUCAUCAGGAUAGCGGGGGUGUAGACAAGGGCAGAACGAGAAUCUACAAAUGCCGAUUGGUUGCUGUAGUUUGAUGGAGGCAAAGGAGACCAGUGUUACCCUAAUUUUCUUUGCUUUGGUUUGUAUUAUAAUUGGUUAUCUAAUACCAACUUAAUUAUUUUGUACCUAGUUAACCAAUAUGUGGUUCAGAUAAUCAAUAAAAUAUAUUUUAGUUACAA